GGCGGCGUUUCCGGCCGCCGUCGCUGUCCAGGGAGGCUGAGGCGAGAGGUAGCUGUCCGGGUGGGGAGCCCGCACUACCUUCUUCCUCUUCCUCCUCCUCCGGGUGAGGGGAGCGAAGGUUGGGGGUCCCCGAGCCCAUGGACCAGGAGGAGGCGGAGGCCGCCGAGAGCCGGGGCCCCGCUAUGUGGCCCUGAGCCCCGUGUACUGGUUCUGCCUGUCUGGAGGGCCAUGGAGAAGAGGCUGGGAGUCAAGCCAAAUCCUGCUUCCUGGAUUUUAUCAGGAUAUUAUUGGCAGACAUCUGCGAAGUGGUUGAGAAGCCUGUACCUGUUUUAUACUUGCUUUUGCUUCAGCGUUCUGUGGUUGUCAACAGAUGCCAGUGAGAGCAGGUGCCAGCAGGGGAAGACACAAUUUGGAGUUGGCCUGAGAUCUGGGGGAGAAAAUCACCUCUGGCUUCUUGAAGGAACCCCCUCUCUCCAGUCAUGUUGGGCUGCCUGCUGCCAGGACUCUGCCUGCCAUGUCUUUUGGUGGCUAGAAGGGAUGUGCAUUCAGGCAGACUGCAGCAGGCCCCAGAGCUGCCGGGCUUUUAGGACACACUCCUCCAAUUCCAUGCUGGUGUUUUUAAAAAAAUUCCAAACUGCAGAUGAUUUGGGCUUUCUACCUGAAGAUGAUGUACCACAUCUUCUGGGGCUAGGUUGGAACUGGGCAUCUUGGAGGCAGAGCCCACCCAGAGCUGCACUCAGACCUGCUGUAUCUUCCAGUGACCAGCAGAGCUUAAUCAGGAAGCUUCAGAAGAGAGGUAGUCCCAGUGAAGUAGUCACACCUAUAGUGACACAGCAUUCUAAAGUGAAUGACUCCAACGAAUUAGGUGGUCUGACUACCAGUGGCUCUGCAGAGGUCCACAAGGCGAUUACAAUUUCCAGUCCCCUAACCACAGACCUGACUGCAGAGCUGUCUGGUGGGCCAAAGAAUGUAUCAGUGCAACCUGAAAUAUCAGAGGGUCUUGCUACUAUGCCCAGCACUCAACAAGUAAAAAGUUCUGAGAAAACCCAGAUUGCUGUCCCCCAGCCAGUGGCUCCCUCCUACAGUUAUGCUACCCCUACCCCCCAGGCCUCUUUCCAGAGCACCUCAGCACCAUACCCAGUUAUAAAGGAACUGGUGGUAUCUGCUGGAGAGAGUGUCCAGAUAACCCUGCCUAAGAAUGAAGUUCAAUUAAAUGCAUAUGUUCUCCAAGAACCACCUAAAGGAGAAACGUACACCUACGACUGGCAGCUGAUUACUCAUCCUAGAGACUACAGUGGAGAAAUGGAAGGGAAACAUUCCCAGAUCCUCAAACUAUCGAAGCUCACUCCAGGCCUGUAUGAAUUCAAAGUGAUUGUAGAGGGUCAAAAUGCCCAUGGGGAAGGCUAUGUGAACGUGACAGUCAAGCCAGAGCCCCGUAAGAAUCGGCCCCCCAUUGCUAUCGUGUCACCUCAGUUCCAGGAGAUCUCUUUGCCAACCACUUCUACAGUCAUUGAUGGCAGUCAAAGCACUGAUGAUGAUAAAAUCGUUCAGUACCAUUGGGAAGAACUUAAGGGGCCUCUGAGAGAAGAGAAGAUUUCUGAAGAUACAGCCAUAUUAAAACUAAGUAAACUCGUCCCUGGGAACUACACUUUCAGCUUGACUGUAGUAGACUCUGAUGGAGCUACCAACUCUACUACUGCAAACCUGACAGUGAACAAAGCUGUGGAUUACCCCCCUGUGGCCAACGCAGGCCCCAACCAAGUGAUCACCCUGCCCCAAAACUCCAUCACCCUCUUUGGGAACCAGAGCACUGAUGAUCAUGGCAUCACCAGCUAUGAGUGGUCACUCAGCCCAAGCAGCAAAGGGAAAGUGGUGGAGAUGCAGGGUGUUAGAACACCAACCUUACAGCUCUCUGCAAUGCAAGAAGGAGACUACACUUACCAGCUCACGGUGACUGACACAAUAGGACAGCAGGCCACUGCUCAAGUGACUGUUAUUGUGCAACCUGAAAACAAUAAGCCUCCUCAGGCAGAUGCAGGCCCAGAUAAAGAGCUGACCCUUCCUGUGGAUAGCACAACCCUGGAUGGCAGCAAGAGCUCAGAUGAUCAGAAAAUUAUCUCAUAUAUCUGGGAAAAAACACAGGGACCUGAUGGGGUGCACCUCGAGAAUGCUAACAGCAGUGUUGCCACUGUGACUGGGCUGCAAGUGGGGACCUAUGUGUUCACCUUGACUGUCAAAGAUGAGAGGAACCUGCAAAGCCAGAGCUCUGUGAAUGUCAUUGUCAAAGAAGAAAUAAACAAACCACCUAUAGCCAAGAUAACUGGGAAUGUGGUGAUUACCUUACCCACGAGCACAGCAGAGCUGGAUGGCUCUAAGUCCUCAGAUGACAAGGGAAUAGUCAGCUACCUCUGGACUCGAGAUGAGGGGAGCCCAGCAGCAGGGGAGGUGUUAAAUCACUCUGACCAUCACCCUAUCCUUUUUCUUUCAAACCUGGUUGAGGGAACCUACACUUUUCACCUGAAAGUGACCGAUGCAAAGGGUGAGAGUGACACAGACCGGACCACUGUGGAGGUGAAACCUGAUCCCAGGAAAAACAACCUGGUGGAGAUCAUCUUGGAUAUCAACGUCAGUCAGCUAACUGAGAGGCUGAAGGGGAUGUUCAUCCGCCAGAUUGGGGUCCUCCUGGGGGUGCUGGAUUCCGACAUCAUUGUGCAAAAGAUUCAGCCGUACACGGAGCAGAGCACCAAAAUGGUAUUUUUUGUUCAAAACGAGCCUCCCCACCAGAUCUUCAAAGGCCAUGAGGUGGCAGCGAUGCUCAAGAGUGAGCUGCGGAAGCAAAAGGCAGACUUUUUGAUAUUCAGAGCCCUGGAAAUCAACACUGUCACAUGUCAGCUGAACUGUUCCGACCAUGGCCACUGUGACUCAUUCACCAAACGCUGUAUCUGUGACCCUUUUUGGAUGGAGAAUUUCAUCAAGGUGCAGCUGAGGGAUGGAGACAGCAACUGUGAGUGGAGCGUGUUAUAUGUUAUCAUUGCUACCUUUGUCAUUGUUGUUGCCUUGGGAAUCCUGUCUUGGACUGUGAUCUGUUGUUGUAAGAGGCAAAAAGGAAAACCCAAGAGGAAAAGCAAGUACAAGAUCCUGGAUGCCACGGAUCAGGAAAGCCUGGAGCUGAAGCCAACCUCCCGAGCAGGUAGGGGCCCUGGGUGCCAGAGCUUCUAGGUCUGUGCACUCUCUGUGUGGAAGGCUGCUGUCACUAGCCCCUCCUGAGUGUGUCACUAACAGCCCACUGUGCUUGCAAAGCAUUUUGUUCCCUUUUGCCUGAUGAAGACUGAGGGUCAGAUUUGCCCUGAGCUGCACUGGACAAAAUGCCUCCAGGACCCACUUCGCAUGCUACUUCCGCUUGGCGGGGGUGCUGGGCCUGUUGUUUUCCUUUGCCUGGGCAUUCUCCUUAUGUUUCCCACCUGGAGUUCCGCUUUUCCAACUGCCCCAGGUAGUCAGGGUCAGGGACCUUGGACUUGUCUCUUACUGCUGACCAGUCUGUCCUUUAUGGGCAGAGAUGAGACCCAGGCCCGUGUCUGCCAGCUGACCACCUUUCAGCCAGCCUUGUUCUCCUGUCUUCCUGUCUUUAUCAUUUGGCAAGUCCUCAGCUUCUGUCAGUGUCUUAGGGCAGAUAGGAGGGCAUUUCCUUGCACAAACAGUAAGAUGACUUUGAGUGAUGGCACUGGGAGAUCAGGGCAGGUAGUAGGCCUUCCUUCCUCCGCUGGGCUGGGUCACCUGGCGAGGGUUUCACUCAUCAUGGAUGCCAUGGGACAGGUAUCAUUAGUUUAUGAGAGCUAGACUCUAUAAAGCGAUUCCUAAACACUCUGCAAGUAGAACUAUUUUUAUAUAAAGCAUUUCUUAAACACUUUUCAUGCUUAAAGCUUUGUGUUAGGGAGAGGCUGUGGGGGUAUAGGGAGUCAUCAGACACAGGCUGUGCCCUCAGUCUAGUGAGGGAGAAAAGACACACAGUAGCAGAAGAGAACAGGCUCACAGCAGUCUGGACUCUGCACCAAGCAGCUCGAUCCACCAACACUGUCAAGGCGGAGACUGGAGGUGGUGGGGCUUGAAAUGAGCCCAGGAAACCAGAGCAGUGAGGGCGGGCGGGGCAUUUCACCCAGGAAUAUUGAGAAUGAGGGCCUGGAGGUGAAAUGUGCAAAACCCACCCCUCACACUGCAGCCAAGGUUUUUAUCAUGUUACUCUGAUCAUGUUUUUCACCCCCUGACAUUCUUCAAUGACUUACUAUUUCUAGCACAAAAAGCUAGAACUUUUGGUCUGGUAGAUGUGGCCUUUGUGAGCUUACAUCAGUUUGCUUUUCUAGAAUCUUUCUCUUUGCUGAUCUCCCUCUUUUCUAAACAAGUUCUGCUGGUUCAUCCAGUAAUCUCUUUCUUUUUUAAAAAUGUGGCGACAAGGUCUUGCUCUGUCACCCAGGCUGGAGUGCAGUGGUAUAGUCAUAGCUCACUGCAACCUCCAACUCCUGGGCUCAAGUGGUCCUCCUGCUUCAGCCUCCCAAAGCAGCUGGGACUACAGGCAUGCGCCACCAUACCCAGCCCUAGAAAGCUCUUUCUUAUCCCUCCCUUAACCUCCUCAAGUUGUGCUCACCUUUCUCCCACAUGCCUGGGUCGGCAUUUCUCUCGCUGUCUCAUGAUUAGUUAUGUUUGCCUGUCUCCCCACCCAUCAGUGAAAUCCCUGAGGGCAGGGGCUGUGUCUCAUUCAUCUGUGGAUAUGGAGCAGGACCACUAUGUGCCAGGCCCUGUGCCAGACACUGCUUAUAUUGUGGUGAAUCAAACGGACAGACUUCACUCUUGUGUAGCUUAUGUCAGACAGACAUUAAGCAAACUCACAAAUACAUAAAAUAUGCUCAUAAAAGGCCUUUAUGAAGAAAAACACUUAAGCUGAGACCUGGAUAAGUGGGAGCUAGCCAGAUAAAGCUGCAGGAAAUAGCAUUCCAGGCAAAGGAACAAAACUGGUGCAGACCCAGCUGCUAGAAGGAGCAGAGAGCAUUUGAGGAGGUAGAAGAAGGUGACAUGCUGGACAGGUUCACCUUCCCACGGAGUAAGGGGUGAGUGACCCAAGGCUCAAUGGAUGAGCAGGGUCCCUGCUGAGGACUUCUCUUGAGCACAAUGGGGAGCCACUGAUAGCUUUUUAAGGGGAUGAAUGGUGGGAUUUGGUUUACAUUUAUUAUUAUUAUUAUUAUUUGAGACAGAGUCUCACUCUUAUCACCCAGGCAGGAGUGCAGUGGUGCGAUCAAGGCCCACUGCAGUCUUGACCUCCUGGGCUCGGGUGAUCCUUCCACCUCAGCUUCCUAAGUAGCUGGGACCACAGGCAUGCGCCACCAUCCCCAGGUUUUUUUUUUGUUUGUUUGUUUUGUUUUUUUGUAUUUUUGGUAGAGACGGGGUUUCAUCAUGUUGCCUAGGCUGUUCUUGAACUCCUGGGCUUAAGUGAUCUGCCUGCCUUGGCCUUCUAAAGUGCUGGGAUUAUAGGUGUGAGCCAUGGCACCCGUUCUUGGUUUAUAUUUUAAAAAGACAACUGUGUAGCUGGGCGUGGUGGUGGGUGCCUGUAAUCCCAGCUACUCGAGAGGCCAAGGCAGGAGAAUUGCUAGAACCUGGGGGUGUGGAGGUUUCAGUGAACUGAGAUCACUCCAACCUGGGCAAUAAAGCCAGACUCUGUCUCAAAAAAAAAAAAAAAAAAAGAAAAGAUAACUGUGGCUGACAGAUGCAGGGGUUGGAGGGGGAAAGGCUAGCUGAAAGGAAAUUAGAUAGAAUGUCCUUGGGGUUGAGAGGCAGAUAGAUUCUAGAUACAUUUUUGAGGAAGACUUGAUGAGGUUAGUGGUCUGCUGGCCAAGGGGUGUGGGAGAAGGGAGAAAGGAAGGAUGACUCACAGCUUCAGCACUGAGCCUCUGUGGGUUGAGUGGUGGUAGUAUCCCUGAGAUGGGAGAGACUGGAGAAGAAAUGUUGGAGAUCAAGUGUUUGGUGCAAGACAGUUAUGAGUGGAGUUGAGGAAAUGAGAAUGAAAGAUUGACAAGGCCCAAAUUGUGAAAGUUUGACUAUCAGCCUGCAGAGUUAAACAUUUAUCCUGGUGAUGCUGGGAAGCAAAGUCUUGGAUAUGCUGGUUUAGGAAAAUCAGUCUGGUGACAACAUAUAAUAAUUGAAGGGGAGUGGCUACAAGUGUGGAGACCAGCAAGGAGAUUUUUGGUCCAAGGAGGAGCUGACAGUGGUUCACACAGCGUGGUGUCAGUGGGUUAUAGCUAGGUCUGGCUAGGUCUGGCAAGGUCAGGGCUGACUUCCAACCGAGAGAUGGAGAAUGAUAGUGCUGUUGACAGAAUCAGAACCUCUGAUGCAGUGACUGGGUAAGAGAAGAUGAAUUAAAUGGAACCCAGCAGAAGAGUCAGACCUGGAACUGUAGAAAUAGGAAUCUCCCAUCUGCUCGUGAGGAUCAGCACCACAAAGGGUCACAUCCCUUAUGGGGGAACGUUGAGGGACAAAAGAAGAGGCCUAGGGUUGAGGACCCCAAGAAUGACCAUCCAGGAGGGAGGAGGGGAUUCAUUAGGGGACAGCCGUCGGUGUUUGCUGCUGCAAAGGCCAAAGAAUCAGAAUUGAUAGCACCAGAGAAGCUCCUGGCCCAUCAGAGAGCUGCAGUAGAGUGGGGAGUGACAGUGGAAGUGAAAGCGCAGGUGAUUUAGAAAGCGAAGUGAGGAGAUGAAGUCCCUGAAUAUUUAAAAAUCCUUUUAGAAGCUGAGCAGUGAAAGCUAGAGAAGCAGGAUGGCAGGCAGAGGGCAAGGGCCUCCUCUUCCUCAGAGAAGGGCUCAUGAACAGAUCUGUGGGUGGCAAUGUCGAAUGCAGGUAGAGGAGUGGUGCGUUGGAGAGGUGCUUCCUGACUGAGGAGGAAGGAGGGAGAAGGGAAGAGAGGAGAGAAAGGGAGCAUGGAGUUCAGAUGCCUCUUCUGAGGCAGGAGGGGAGAAACGGGCGGUGAUGGCCCGGAGAAGUGCUGCGCUGCAGAGGCGAGAUUGGAUGGGAGCCUGAGCUCAGCACCUCGGACAUCUUAGGGAGAGGGGAGAGCCACGGGGUGUUCCAGUGGCAUCUAGGUGACCAAAACCAACAACGUGCGACCAGGUGAGGGCAGCAGGGCUGGUCUCUUGUGGGCAGUGUCUACCAAAGGGAGCUGGGAGAGCCCGCUCAGGUUCGGUGUGGGUCUGAGCAGGCCGGAAGCACUGGUUCUUGUUCUGGGCUCAGUGGGUUAGCAGGUCCAGCCUAGAGCAGAGUCACUAGGAGGACGAGGAGAAUGAGAUUCAAGACCAUAUGGUGUCAGGUAUGGAACUGAAGAAGUUUAGCUGGAAGAAGGGUAAACUGAGUGGGUCUGUGGGGGGGAAAGAGGAUGUAUGUGCGCGGGAGCCUGGACGGACAGUUUGCCAGGAGCCAGUUUAGGCUGAGGAUGAGCAGUAACUGAGGAAGGAGAGCAGUGCCACCUGGUAAGUGUGGGGCUGCCCCCCUCAGGAGGCCCCCUUUACAUUCAGCAGCUAUGGCUUUGUUUUCUCUUGUUGUUGUUGUUUUUUGUUGUUGUUUUUGUUUUCUAUUGAUUUUUUUUUCUAAAACUUUCUAUUGAAGUAUAUUAGGUUGAACCUAGGCUCCUGUCCUCACUGCUAUAGCCAGAGGGGCUUUGGGAAGGAGGCAGCUGUGAACGGGUGGGUAUUUCAAGGGGCGAGGCAGGGCCUUUGGAGGACCUGGGCCCUUGCCAGGGCCCUUUCCACUGUCCCCACCGCACUGGAGAUGUCCUGGCGGUCAGUGUUCUUCUGUGGCCCUGCUGCUCCGCUGCCCGAAGACUCAGUAGGAGAGGUUCAGUCAAGACCCAGAACUGUAACCCUGACACCAACGCGGGUGAGGAAGCUCCCUGCCCAAGCCCCAGAGCAUGUGGCACAGGCACAGCUGUACAUGGACAAGGUCCUUGGGCGCAUGUGGUCCUGAAUGGCAGGCGCAUCAGGGUCUGGAUGCGCUCAGCCUAGAGAGCUCGGGGCACUCCCAGCCUUAAGUCAGGUGUGGCCAGGAAGGGCUGAAUGGCUGGGAAUCCUCUCAAGGCACUUUCAGUAUGUGAGGGAGAUCUGGAUCCUUCUCCCCGGAGAAGGAAGAAUGAUUAUUGGAUGAUGAGAUUGUGGUGCUGGAGAGGGCUCUCCCCUCUCCCUAAGAUGUCCACCCCUCACCUGACUGGUUACCUUUUUUAGAAAGGAGGGAGGUUAGCUCCUGGGCGUGGGCAUUCCCAGGACCCAGAACACUGCUGAGGGGGUGCCACCUGUUGGCAGCUCCCACUCUAGUCCUGCUAUCUCAGCCUGCUGUUUGCUUUCUCUGGAGUUUUUGCACCAGCCAGAGGGCAGCCAUCUUUGCUGCUGGAACUCUUCUUAUCAGACCACAUUUCAUGUCUGUGGCCGCCCGGCAUCUAUAGGGAUAAGUAGUGAAGGGACUGCCAUGGCUUGCAGAAUCGCAGGUGUCUUCUUUGACCCCAGGUGCUUCAUACGGUUCUUGCUUUGUGUGUUCUGUGAUUUGGCUGCUUGGGACUGCUUCUGAGAGUCCCCAUUUCAGUCAGGCUCUCCCAGCAGGAGAGACCUCUCCAAGCGUGCACCUGCUCUGCCACCCUAGCAUCCAGUGAAGCCACAGCAGACAAGAGCCCACAGAGCAAAUGUCUACAUGGACUGAAACUGCACACUCCUGCUGUGCCAGCACUCAGUGGCCCUGCUGACCUAGGGUGCAGCUAAAAGCUCAUUCUCCAGAGCCUGAGUUCUUGGUGCUUUCCUGCCUACCAUGUCACUCCACCCAUAGAGGGAGAUGAUAAAAUAUUCCAAAUUUGAAAGGUAAAGGAAAGAGAAUGUCACCGGGUGGCCUGAACCAAAGCUCAUGGAUACUGGAGAUGAAGAACCAGCAGGAGACCCCAGGCAUCAAACAGAAAGGCCUGGUGCUAAGUAGCAGCCUGAUGCACUCCGAGUCAGAGCUGGACAGCGACGAUGCCAUCUUUACAUGGCCAGACCGAGAGAAGGGCAAACUCCUGCAUGGUCAGAAUGGCUCUGUA